AGUCAGGGUGAGGGUCAGGGCUGGGGUUUGGGAGAGAGUCAGGCUGAGUGUUUGGUUCAGGUCAGAAUCGAGGUGAGGUUGAGGGUCAGGGUUGUGGAGAGGUUAAGGGUGUGGUUUAGGGUGAAGGUGAGGUCAGAGUGAGGUUCAAGGUAACUGUUAGGGUCAGGUUGGGCAUAAGGGUCAGUGCUGAUUUAGGAUCAGUGUAGGUCACAAAGAGGGUCAGGGUUGGGGUGAGAACAGGAGCAGAGUAAGUGUGAGGGUCAGCAUGAGAGUGAGAUCAAGGUCAGUGCUAGGGUAAGUGUCUGAGGAAUAAGUUCAGGGUGAGGAUGAGUGAAAGGGGGAGGGGGAGUGUGAAAGUGAAAAUCAAGUGUGAUUCGGGGCCAGUAUGAGGCUAAGGGUCAGGUUUAGGGUGAGGGUCAGGGUCAUGGUGAUGUUCAGGGUCAGAUUGAGGAUAAAGGUCAUGUUCAGGGUCAGAAAGCGUUAGGAUGAAGAUGAGUGUGAGGUUCAGGGCCAGAGUGAGUAUGAUAGAUUGAUUUUGAG